GGAGAGUUGGUGUUCUCCAAACCCAACGAUGUAUCCUGAGGGACUCCACUCCGGCACACUUUCAUCUCGCCUCUCAUUCAUGGAACUUUAAUCAGUGAAGAACCUCGGGUGGAGACAAACUUGUCCUCUAACCUUAAUUAAGAAGCACUCCCACUGACCUGGCCCUCGUUGUGUGUGUGUGCCCUGUCUGAGGCUUCACAAAGUGCUUCGAAACUCGUCCAGAACCAGAGGCAGUGAACACAGACUCGAUGAACCCUUGUCGGCCAUGCAGAGGCAAACGACCGAGCUCAUUGUGACCCUCGUGUUUGUGCCUCUCUGUGUGCUGGCCUGGCAUUCUGUGUGGACGUGGCGGUGUUGUCUACACCGGUGGUGGUGAUGGUGAUAGCGAUGGUGAAUGUGCGGGACUGUGGUGGUGGUGAUGAUGGUAUUUGCGGAUGCAGCAUCUAGAAGUCGUGGUGGUGAUGGUGGUUGUUAUGGUGUGCCACCGAAGUCCCGAGCGGCUUCGAGACAAGGAAGAGAAGCUACGCGGUUCACUUCACCCAGCCAGUCAGUGGUCAGUAGCGUCAGCUUCGUUGUGGUGUACGCGU